rnacentral:piRNA from 1 species
AAAGACACUGCUGGGUACGAAGGACGAGA